rnacentral:rRNA from 1 species
CGUCUAUAUACGUAUAGCAUAUCAAUAAGCGGAGGAAAAGAAACUAACUAGGAUUCCCUCAGUAACGGCGAGUGAAGCGGGAAGAGCUCAAAUUUGAAAUCUUCAAGGUUCUACCUUGACGAAUUGUAGUUUAAAGAAGUGUUUCUCUGUUGGAGUUUUGGUAAAAGUUCUUUGGAAUAGGACAUCAUAGAGGGUGAGAAUCUCGUAUUUGACCAUUAUUUCCAACUUUGUGAUACACUUUCAAAGAGUCGGAUUGUUUGGGAAUGCAGUCCAAAAUGGGUGGUAAAUUUCAUCUAAAGCUAAAUACUGGCGAGAGACCGAUAGCGAACAAGUACCGUGAGGGAAAGAUGAAAAGAACUUUGAAAAGAGAGUUAAACAGUACGUGAAAUUGUCAAAAGGGAAGCGUUUGACACCAGUGUUGUUUUCUCGAAAAUCAAUUAAAAAUGGUGGGAUUUUGUGUUGUAUUGACUUUAUCAGCUUUCUGCACUUUUUUCCUGUCUUUUUUAAUGCACUUUUCGUUUAACAAGUCAACAUCAAUUUCUUUUGUUGUAAAAGGGUCAUUGGAAGGUGGCUUUCUUUUCGGAGAAAGUGUUUAUAGCCUUUGACUUCUGCAAUCGGAGAGAUUGAGGUCUGCAGCGUAGAUCCUUCGGGGUUAGAUGCAUUUGUGCUAAGUUAUAGCCUUUCAUAGACAACUUGUUGACUAUGAUCAGUCAUGUAGCUUACUCGCUUAUGUUAUUUUACCUACGCUUAGGAUGUUGACGAUCAGCUGAGCGCG